GGUGAGAUGGCCGAGCGGUCCAAGGCGCUAGAAUCAGGUUCCUGCGCCUCAUCUAGUCCGAAAGGGCGGGGGUUCGAAUCCCCCUCUCACCA